rnacentral:rRNA from 1 species
GACGAACGCUGGCGGCGUGCUUAACACAUGCAAGUCGAACGGAAAGGCCCUGCUUUUGUGGGGUGCUCGAGUGGCGAACGGGUGAGUAACACGUGAGUAACCUGCCCUUGACUUUGAGAUAACUUCAGGAAACUGGGGCUAAUACCGGAUAGGAGCUCCUGCUGCAUGGUGGGGGUUGGAAAGUCUCGGCGGUUGGGGAUGGACUCGCGGCUUAUCAGCUUGUUGGUGGGGUAGUGGCUUACCAAGGCUUUGACGGGUAGCCGGCCUGAGAGGGUGACCGGCCACAUUGGGACUGAGAUACGGCCCAGACUCCUACGGGAGGCAGCAGUGGGGAAUAUUGCACAAUGGGCGGAAGCCUGAUGCAGCAACGCCGCGUGCGGGAUGACGGCCUUCGGGUUGUAAACCGCUUUCGCCUGUGACGAAGCGUGAGUGACGGUAAUGGGUAAAGAAGCACCGGCUAACUACGUG